rnacentral:rRNA from 1 species
CCUACGGGUGGCUGCAGUGGGGAAUAUUGGACAAUGGGGGGAACCCUGAUCCAGCCAUGCCGCGUGUGUGAAGAAGGCCCUCGGGUUGUAAAGCACUUUCAGUGAGGAAGAACGCCUGGUGGUUAAUACCCAUCAGGAAAGACAUCACUCACAGAAGAAGCACCGGCUAACUCCGUGCCAGCAGCCGCGGUAAUACGGAGGGUGCGAGCGUUAAUCGGAAUUACUGGGCGUAAAGCGCGCGUAGGUGGCUUGAUAAGCCGGUUGUGAAAGCCCCGGGCUCAACCUGGGAACGGCAUCUGGAACUGUCAAGCUAGAGUGCAGGAGAGGAAGGUAGAAUUCCCGGUGUAGCGGUGAAAUGCGUAGAGAUCGGGAGGAAUACCAGUGGCGAAGGCGGCCUUCUGGACUGACACUGACACUGAGGUGCGAAAGCGUGGGUAGCAAACAGGAUUAGAUACCCCUGUAGUC